rnacentral:rRNA from 1 species
AGAGGUUACUGCUAUCGGAGUUCGAUUAAGCCAUGCGAGUCUAAAGGUUUCUUCGGAAACCUUGGCGGACUGNUCAGUAACACGUGGAUAACCUACCCUUGGGACUGGGAUAACCCCGGGAAACUGGGGAUAAUACCGGAUAGAUCAGGGAUGCUGGAAUGCGCCCUGAUCCAAAGCUCCGGCGCCCAAGGAUGGGUCUGCGGCCUAUCAGGUUGUAGUGGGUGUAACGUACCUACUAGCCGACGACGGGUACGGGUUGUGAGAGCAAGAGCCCGGAGAUGGAUUCUGAGACACGAAUCCAGGCCCUACGGGGUGCAGCAGGCGCGAAACCUUUACAAUGUGCGAAAGCAUGAUAAGGGAACUCCGCGUGCCAGCAUCUAAUGCUGGCUGUCCUUGUGCCUAAAACGCACAAGAUAGCAAGGGCCGGGUAAGACCGGUGCCAGCCGCCGCGGUAACACCGGCGGCCCGAGUGGUAGCCGCUAUUAUUGGGUCUAAAGGGUCCGUAGCCGGUUCGAUAAGUCCUCUGGGAAAUCUGGUUGCUUAACAAUCAGACUGCCAAGGGAUACUGUCGAACUUGAGACCGGGAGAGGUAAGAGGUACUUCAGGGGUAGGAGUGAAAUCUUGUAAUCCCUGGGGGACCAUCUGUGGCGAAGGCGUCUUACCAGAACGGGUCUGACGGUGAGGGACGAAAGCUGGGGGCGCAAACCGGAUUAGAUACCCGGGUAGUCCCAGCCGUAAACGAUGCUCGCUAUGUGUCAGGUACGGUGUGACCGUAUCUGGUGCCGUAGGGAAGCCGUGAAGCGAGCCACCUGGGAAGUACGGUCGCAAGACUGAAACUUAA